rnacentral:rRNA from 1 species
UGGCGGACGGGUGAGUAAUGCGUAGGAAUCUGUCUUUUAGUGGGGGACAACCCAGGGAAACUCGGGCUAAUACCGCAUGAGCCCUGAGGGGGAAAGCGGGGGAUCUUCGGACCUCGCGCUAAGAGAAGAGCCUACGUCUGAUUAGCUAGUUGGUAGGGUAAAGGCCUACCAAGGCGACGAUCAGUAGCUGGUCUGAGAGGACGACCAGCCACACUGGGACUGAGGCACGGCCCAGACUCCUACGGGAGGCAGCAGUGGGGAAUUUUUCGCAAUGGGGGCAACCCUGACGANGCAAUGCCGCGUGGAUGAAGAAGGCCUUCGGGUUGUAAAGUCCUUUCGUGGGGGACGAAAAGGUGGUUCCCAAUACGAGCUACUGUUGACGUGAAACCCAAGAAGAAGCACCGGCUUAACUCCGUGCCAGCCCGCCGCGGUAUACAAGGGCGA